UUUUUUCCUUUUUUUUUUUUCCCUUUUUUUUUUAAUUUGUUAUUUGUUUUUUUUUUUUUUCUUCCCUCCCCCCCCCCAUAAAAUAAUUUUUUUAUUUUGUGGGGGGGGGGGUUUUCCUCCCCCCCUUGGGGGGGGGGGCCCCCCCCCCCAAAAAAAAAAAAGGGGGGGGUGUUUUAGGGGGGGGAGGCACCCCCGCGGGGACCUUUCCAAAAGGGGGUUUCCGUUUUUUUCCCCGGUUUUUUUACUGGCCCCUCAGUGUCCCCGGACGACCCCCCCCGAAGAAACUUGGGGGCCCCCGGCCCGGGAGGGCCCCGGGGCCGCCCCCAAACACCCCAAGCCGAGGCUGGGGUGAAAAUGACGCUCGAAACAGGCAUGCCCGCCCGAAAUACCCGCGGGCGCCAAUGUGCUUACAAAGAUUGGAUGAUUCCAGUGAAUUUCUGCAAUUCACCAUUAUCUUAUCGCAUUUCGCUGCUUCUUUCAUCGAUGCCAGAACCAAGAGAUCCGUUGUGAAAGUUUUGAUUAUUUGUCUUUCAGGCUCAGAGAUACUGGAAAAAAUAAGAGUUUUGAACCUCCGGCGGGCGUGCCCGCCGAAGCAACGACAGAGGUUAUGUUCACAGGGUUGGAGUUUUUCAACUCCAGUUUCGGUACUGUGAACCUGCGGAGGGAUCAUUACUGAGUUGAAAAACUCCAACCCCUGUGAACAUAACCUCUGUCGUUGCUUCGGCGGGCACGCCCGCCGGAGGUUCAAAACUCUUAUUUUUUCCAGUAUCUCUGAGCCUGAAAGACAAAUAAUCAAAACUUUCAACAACGGAUCUCUUGGUUCUGGCAUCGAUGAAGAACGCAGCGAAAUGCGAUAAGUAAUGUGAAUUGCAGAAUUCAGUGAAUCAUCGAAUCUUUGAACGCACAUUGCGCCCGCCGGUAUUCCGGCGGGCAUGCCUGUUCGAGCGUCAUUUCAACCCUCAAGCCUCGGCUUGGUGUUGGGGCGCCCGGGCCCUCCGCGGCCCGGGGCCCCCAAGUUCAUCGGCGGGCUCGUCGGUACACUGAGCGCAGUAAAACGCGGUAAAACGCGAACCUCGUUCGGAUCGUCCCGGCGUGCUCCAGCCGCUAAACCCCCAAUUUUUUUAAGCUUGACCCGGGAUCAGCUCGGGUUACCCACGCGUC
rnacentral:misc_RNA from 1 species